UCCCUGGUGGUCCAGUGGUUAAGAUUCUGUGCUGCUGAUGCAGGGGCUGUAGGUUCAAUCCCUGGUCAGUGAA
rnacentral:tRNA from 1 species